UACGAAGGGGGCUAGCGUUGCUCGGAAUUACUGGGCGUAAAGGGAGCGUAGGCGGAUAGUUUAGUCAGAGGUGAAAGCCCAGGGCUCAACCUUGGGAUUGCCUUUGAUACUGGCUAUCUUGAGUACGGAAGAGGUAUGUGGAACUCCGAGUGUAGAGGUGAAAUUCGUAGAUAUUCGGAAGAACACCAGUGGCGAAGGCGACAUACUGGUCCGUUACUGACGCUGAGGCUCGAAAGCGUGGGGAGCAAACAGG
rnacentral:rRNA from 1 species